rnacentral:lncRNA from 1 species
UGGCUCAAGACCGCGCGAGCGCCAGUACUCUCUGAUGGCGUGUCCUCCAUCAACAAAGUCAUCUUCAGGGAUGUACUCAUCUUCCACCUCUGGGAGGCCAACCCAUUUGACCUUGUACUCGAAUUUGACCUGGUUCCUGCGCACUGGUACAGGGCGGUGCUGAACAAUCCUUUCCAAUUGCCAGAUUGGAGUGCCAUCAGUGUCAUAUGAGAGUAGCGGAGUAGAACAUACUAGCUCCUUACCUUCACGGAUGCGGUAGGGCUUGACCUGAGAAACAUGGAGCACGUUGUGACAAUGCAUAUGCUCAGGCAGACUGAGCUUCACAGCAACAGGACCAACCAUUUUGAUGACAGAGAAAGGUCCCAUCCAUUUAGGCAUGAGUUUCUGUCCUCGCCCGUGAGAGAAGUUCUGAGUACUGAGAAGUACAAGCUGAUUUGGAUGAUAUGUGAUCUCUGGGCGGUUCUGAUUGUAGUAGGCCUGUUGUCUGUCCUGCGCAGAUUGGAGAGACUUUUUGGCACGAUUCGGAGUCUCUUGUAAGUCUGCAGCAAAGUCUGAUGCAGCAGGUUCAUCUGGCUGUGAGCUGUGGUCAAGUUCUGAGGCAAAUUGCAUGCGCGGAUGUCUGCCAUAAUUCAAGGAGAACGGAGUGUUUGAGACUGAUGAGUGGAAUGAAUUGUUGCAAGCGAAGGCAGCUGCUGGCAAGUUCAGAUCCCAAUCAUCCAGGGUAGGAGACACAAAUGUACGGAGAUAGCAUUCAAGGACUCUGUUUGUCCUCUCAUUUUGGCCAUUAGUCUGAGGAUGGUAUGCAGUGCUUAAGCGUGACUGAGUGCCCAGCAAACGCAGAUAUGUUGGAAGGAACCCACCAGUCAAACUGAGGACCUCUGUCAGUCAUGAGAGUCUCUGGCUCUCCAUGUUCACACACAACAUGCUGAAAAUGUGUGCAGUUUCCUCUGCAUCCACGUUUGUGGUUGUGGGAACAAAGCGGACAAACUUAGUGAGGCGGUCAACAAUCACAGCAAUACAGUCAUACCCACGCGGAGUGACAGGCAGACCAGUGAUGAAGUCCAUGGUGACAUGCUGCCAUGGGUAUGCUGGAAUAGGCAGAGRUUGCAACUGACCAGGAGGCCUCUGAGUACGGGACUYGGCCUUCUGGCAUGYAUCACAUUUUGACACAAACUCUGUCACAUCUGCGWGUACUGAGUGCCACCAGAAGUAGCRUGUCACUAAUUCAAAAGUCUUUGCAACGCCCGGAUGACCUGCAAGUGGUAUGCUGUGAUUGACAAACAGAAUGUGUUCACGGAUUGAACUGAUGUUGGGAACCACACACAGCCUUUUCCCCCCGAAGUUUUAUGGAAAAAGCUACCUGACUUUUUCUGAUAAUUUCUGAUUGCGUUCUGAUCCUGAAAGUGCUCAUCCAACUCAUAGCCUUGCAGAAUGGCUUUGUAGAUGGUGUUGGCAGGGUUGCUGAAGUUAAACAGAGUUGCUGCUGAGUUCAUUACUGAGUAACGAGACAGAGGAUCAGCAACAUUGCCCCUGCCUGGGCGGUACACCCAUUUGUAGUUGAAGCGGGAGAAGAAAUUCAACCAUCUUGCCUGCUUGCGUGACAGAAGUGGCUGAGAGACCAGGUAGACCAGCGGAUUAUGGUCUGUAACCAGAGUAAUUUCUGGCCCUUCCAGAUAGCAGCGCCAUUGCAAGAGUGCAUCAUGUUGAGUAAGCAGUUCUUGCUCACCUGUUGUGAAGUUCCUCUCAGCAGGAGAAAACUUGCGGCUGUAGUAGGCAACCGGAUGGCCUUCUAGAACCAG